UCUAGAACUCGAGAUAUGGGCUGAACACUGAACAGUGUCUGAGUUGCAAAACAGAUUUUAUCUCCUCUGUUGUUGCUACCAUUUGAACUAAAAAAUGACGCUUUUAAAUCUUGGACUCUUCAUGGAAGUUUUAGGCCUAUGUCUUAGCUUUUCAUA
rfam:Populus trichocarpa scaffold_1_contig_779, whole genome shotgun sequence.